rnacentral:rRNA from 1 species
CAGCCGCCGCGGGAAUACGAGGGGUGCAAGCGUUACUCGGAAUUACUGGGCGUAAAGCGUGCGUAGGUGGUGGUUUAAGUCCGUUGUGAAAGCCCUGGGCUCAACCUGGGAAUUGCAGUGGAUACUGGGUCACUAGAGUGUGGUAGAGGAUAGUGGAAUUUCCGGUGUAGCAGUGAAAUGCGUAGAGAUCGGAAGGAACAUCUGUGGCGAAGGCGACUAUCUGGGCCAACACUGACACUGAGGCACGAAAGCGUGGGGAGCAAACAGGAUUAGAUACCCCGGUAGUCCCUGUCUCUUAUAA